GGGCGGUUAGCUCAGCCUGGUUAGAGCGCUUGCUUGACAUGCAAGAGGUCAGAGGUUCAAAUCCUCUACCGCCCA
rnacentral:tRNA from 1 species